UACGGAGGGUGCGAGCGUUAAUCGGAAUUACUGGGCGUAAAGCGCAUGCAGGUGGUUUGUUAAGUCAGAUGUGAAAGCCCGGGGCUCAACCUCGAAAUAGCAUUUGAAACUGGCAAGCUAGAGUACUGUAGAGGGGGGUAGAAUUUCAGGUGUAGCGGUGAAAUGCGUAGAGAUCUGAAGGAAUACCGGUGGCGAAGGCGGCCCCCUGGACAGAUACUGACACUCAGAUGCGAAAGCGUGGGGAGCGAACAGG
rnacentral:rRNA from 1 species